rnacentral:rRNA from 1 species
AAAUUGAAGAGUUUGAUCAUGGCUCAGAUUGAACGCUGGCGGCAGGCCUAACACAUGCAAGUCGAACGGUAACAGGAAGCAGCUUGCUGCUUUGCUGACGAGUGGCGGACGGGUGAGUAAUGUCUGGGAAACUGCCUGAUGGAGGGGGAUAACUACUGGAAACGGUGGCUAAUACCGCAUAACGUCGCAAGACCAAAGAGGGGGACCUUCGGGCCUCUUGCCAUCAGAUGUGCCCAGAUGGGAUUAGCUUGUUGGUGAGGUAACGGCUCACCAAGGCGACGAUCCCUAGCUGGUCUGAGAGGAUGACCAGCCACACUGGAACUGAGACACGGUCCAGACUCCUACGGGAGGCAGCAGUGGGGAAUAUUGCACAAUGGGCGCAAGCCUGAUGCAGCCAUGCCGCGUGUAUGAAGAAGGCCUUCGGGUUGUAAAGUACUUUCAGCGGGGAGGAAGGUGUUGUGGUUAAUAACCGCAGCAAUUGACGUUACCCGCAGAAGAAGCACCGGCUAACUCCGUGCCAGCAGCCGCGGUAAUACGGAGGGUGCAAGCGUUAAUCGGAAUUACUGGGCGUAAAGCGCACGCAGGCGGUCUGUCAAGUCGGAUGUGAAAUCCCCGGGCUCAACCUGGGAACUGCAUUCGAAACUGGCAGGCUUGAGUCUUGUAGAGGGGGGUGGAAUUCCAGGUGUAGCGGUGAAAUGCGUAGAGAUCUGGAGGAAUACCGGUGGCGAAGGCGGCCCCCUGGACAAAGACUGACGCUCAGGUGCGAAAGCGUGGGGAGCAAACAGGAUUAGAUACCCUGGUAGUCCACGCCGUAAACGAUGUCUACUUGGAGGUUGUGCCCUUGAGGCGUGGCUUCCGGAGCUAACGCGUUAAGUAGACCGCCUGGGGAGUACGGCCGCAAGGUUAAAACUCAAAUGAAUUGACGGGGGCCCGCACAAGCGGUGGAGCAUGUGGUUUAAUUCGAUGCAACGCGAAGAACCUUACCUGGUCUUGACAUCCACAGAACUUUCCAGAGAUGGAUUGGUGCCUUCGGGAACUGUGAGACAGGUGCUGCAUGGCUGUCGUCAGCUCGUGUUGUGAAAUGUUGGGUUAAGUCCCGCAACGAGCGCAACCCUUAUCCUUUGUUGCCAGCGGUCCGGCCGGGAACUCAAAGGAGACUGCCAGUGAUAAACUGGAGGAAGGUGGGGAUGACGUCAAGUCAUCAUGGCCCUUACGACCAGGGCUACACACGUGCUACAAUGGCGCAUACAAAGAGAAGCGACCUCGCGAGAGCAAGCGGACCUCAUAAAGUGCGUCGUAGUCCGGAUUGGAGUCUGCAACUCGACUCCAUGAAGUCGGAAUCGCUAGUAAUCGUGGAUCAGAAUGCCACGGUGAAUACGUUCCCGGGCCUUGUACACACCGCCCGUCACACCAUGGGAGUGGGUUGCAAAAGAAGUAGGUAGCUUAACCUUCGGGAGGGCGCUUACCACUUUGUGAUUCAUGACUGGGGUGAAGUCGUAACAAGGUAACCGUAGGGGAACCUGCGGUUGGAUCAC